GCUUGCUCCUCUGACGUUAGCGGCGGACGGGUGAGUAACACGUGGAUAACCUACCUAUAAGACUGGGAUAACUUCGGGAAACCGGAGCUAAUACCGGAUAAUAUAUUGAACCGCAUGGUUCAAUAGUGAAAGACGGUUUUGCUGUCACUUAUAGAUGGAUCCGCGCCGCAUUAGCUAGUUGGUAAGGUAACGGCUUACCAAGGCAACGAUGCGUAGCCGACCUGAGAGGGUGAUCGGCCACACUGGAACUGAGACACGGUCCAGACUCCUACGGGAGGCAGCAGUAGGGAAUCUUCCGCAAUGGGCGAAAGCCUGACGGAGCAACGCCGCGUGAGUGAUGAAGGUCUUCGGAUCGUAAAACUCUGUUAUUAGGGAAGAACAAAUGUGUAAGUAACUAUGCACGUCUUGACGGUACCUAAUCAGAAAGCCACGGCUAACUACGUGCCAGCAGCCGCGGUAAUACGUAGGUGGCAAGCGUUAUCCGGAAUUAUUGGGCGUAAAGCGCGCGUAGGCGGUUUUUUAAGUCUGAUGUGAAAGCCCACGGCUCAACCGUGGAGGGUCAUUGGAAACUGGAAAACUUGAGUGCAGAAGAGGAAAGUGGAAUUCCAUGUGUAGCGGUGAAAUGCGCAGAGAUAUGGAGGAACACCAGUGGCGAAGGCGACUUUCUGGUCUGUAACUGACGCUGAUGUGCGAAAGCGUGGGGAUCAAACAGGAUUAGAUACCCUGGUAGUCCACGCCGUAAACGAUGAGUGCUAAGUGUUAGGGGGUUUCCGCCCCUUAGUGCUGCAGCUAACGCAUUAAG
rnacentral:rRNA from 1 species